GGCGUUUGUUGAGUUUGAUUUUGUGUCGUGUUUGAACUUGAGUUUGUGGUUUUUUUUAACUUGAGUUUGUGUCGUGUUUGAACUUGAGUUUGAGUGUUUUUUGAACUUGAGUUUGUGUGGUUUUUGAACUUGAGUUUGUGUCGUGUUUGAACUUGAGUUUGAGUGUUUUUUGAACUUGAGUUUGUGUGGUUUUUGAACUUGAGUUUGUUUCGUGUUUGAACUUGAGUUUGUGGCGUUUGUUGAAUUUGAGUUUGUGUCAUGUUUGAACUUGAGUUUGUGGUGUUUUUGAACUUGAAUUUGCAUGUUUGGUUAACUUGAGUUUUUGUGUUUUUUGAACUUGAGUUUCUGUUGUUUUUGAACUUGAGGUUGUGGAAAUUGUUAAACUUGAGACUCAGGUGUUGGUUGAACUUAGGUUUCUGUUGUUUUUGAACUUGAGGUUGUGGAAAUUGUUAAACUUGAGAAUCAGAUUUUGGUUGAACUUAGGUUUCUGUUGUUUUUGAACUUGAGGUUGUGGAAAUUGUUAAACUUGAGACUCAGGUGUUGGUUGAACUUAGGUUUCUGUUGUUUUUGAACUUGAGGUUGUGGAAAUUGUUAAACUUGAGAAUCAGAUUUUGGUUGAACUUGAGUUUGUGUCAUUUUUGAACUUAAGUUUGUGUGUGUGUUGAACUUGAGUUUGUGUUGUGUUUAAUUUGAGUUGCGUGUUUGGUGAACUUGAGUUUGUGUUCUUUGAACUUGAGUUUCUAUUGUUUUUGAACUUGAGGUUGUGGUGUUUUUGACCUUGAGUUUUUGUGUUUGUUGAACUUGAGUUUGUUUCGUGUUUGAACUUGAUUUUGUGGUGUUUUUGAACUUAAGGUUGUGGCAAUUUUUAAACUUGAGAUUUGGAAAUUGGUUGAACUUGAGUUAUUGUGUUUGUUGAACUUGAGUUUGUGUCGUGUUUGAACGUGAGUUUGUGGUGUUUUUAACUUGAGGUGGUUUCAUGUUUGAACUUGAGUUUGUUGCGUUUGUUGAACUUGAGUUUGUGGUGUUUGUUGAACUUGAGUUUGUGGUUUUUGUUGAACUUGAGUUUGUGUCGUGUUUGAACUUGAGUUUGUGUGUUUUUUGAACUUGAGUUUUUUUCGUGUUUGAACUUGAGUUUGUGGUGUUUGUUGAAUUUGAGUUUGUGUCAUGUUUGAACUUGAGUUUGUGGUGUUUUUGAACUUGAAUUUGCGUGUUUGGUUAACUUGAGUUUUUGUGUGUUUUGAACUUGAGUUUGUAUCGUGUUUUAACGUGAGAUUGUGUCGUUUUUGAACUUGAGUUUGUGUGUUUGUUGAACUUGAGUUUGUGUUGUGUUUGAACUUGAGUUUGUGUCGUGUUUGAACUUGAGGUUGUGGAAAUUGUUAAACUUGAGAUUCAGGUGUUGGUUGAACUUGAGUUAGUGUGUUUGUUGAACUUGAGUUUUUUGUCGUGUUUGAACUUGAGUUUGUGGUGUUUUGAACUUGAGUUUGUGAUGUUUUUUGAACUUAAUUUUGUUGAACUUGAGUUUGUGGCAAUUGUUGAACUUCAGUUUGUGUCGUGUUUGAACUCUAGUCUGUUGUUUUUGAACUUGAGGUCGUUGAAUUGUUAAACAUGAGAAUCAGGUUUUGGUUGAACUUGAGUUUCUGUUGUUUUUGAAUUUGAGGUUGUGGAAAUUGUUAAAGUUGAGAAUCAGGUGUUGGUUGAACUUGAGUUGCGUGUUUGGUGAACUUGAGUUUUUGUGUUUUUUGAACUUGAAUUUCUGUUGUUUUUGAACUUGAGGUUCUGGAAAAAAAUUUAAACUUGAGAAUCAGGUGUUGGUUGAACUUGAGUUGCGUGUUUGGUGAACUUGAGUUUUUGUGUUUUUUGAACUUGAAUUUCUGUUGUUUUUGAACUUGAGGUUCUGGAAAAAAAUUUAAACUUGAGAAUCAGGUGUUGGUUGAACUUGAGUUUCUGUUUUUGAACUUGAGGUUGUGGAAAUUGUUAAACUUGAGAAUCAGAUUUUGGUUGAACUUGAGUUUGUGUCAUUUUUGAACUUAAGUUUGUGUGUGUGUUGAACUUGAGGUUGUUGAAAUUGUUAAUCUUGAGAAUUGGGUAUUGGUUGAACUUGAGUUUGUGUCGUGUUUGAAUGUGAGUUUGGUUUGUGUUUUAACUUGAGUUUGUGAUGUUUUUGAAUUUGAGUUUGUGUGUUGGUUGAACUUGAGUUUGUGUUGUGUUUGAACUUGAGUUUGUGGUGUUUUUGAACUUGAGUUAGUGUGUUUGUUGAACUUGAGUUUGUGUUGUGUUUGAACUUUAGUUUGUGGCGUUUGUUGAGCUUGAUUUUGUGUCGUGUUUGAACUUGAGUUUGUGGUUUUUGUUGAACUUGAGUUUGUGUCGUGUUUGAAUUGAGUUUGAGUGUUUUUUGAACUUGAGUUUGUGUGGUUUUUGAACUUGAGUUUGUGUCGUGUUUGAAUUGAGUUUGAGUGUUUUUUGAACUUGAGUUUGUGUGGUUUUUGAACUUGAGUUUGUUUCUAUUUGAACUUGAGUUUGUGGCGUUUGUUGAAUUUGAGUUUGUGUCAUGUUUGAACUUGAGUUUGUGGUGUUUUUGAACUUGAAUUUGCAUGUUUGGUUAACUUGGGUUUUUGUGUUUUUUGAACUUAGGUUUCUGUUGUUUUUGAACUUGAGGUUGUGGAAAUUGUUAAACUUGAGACUCAGGUGUUGGUUGAACUUAGGUUUCUGUUGUUUUUGAACUUGAGGUUGUGGAAAUUGUUAAACUUAAGAAUUAGGUGUUGGUUGAACUUGAGUUUGUGUGUUUGUUGAACUUGAAUUUGUGAUGUUUUUGAACUUGAGGUUGUUGAAAUUUUUAAACUUGAGAAUUGGGUAUUGGUUGAACUUUAGUUUGUGAUUUUAUUGAACUUGAGUUUGGUUCGUGUUUUAACUUGAGUUUGUGAUGUUUUUGAAUUUGAGUUUGUGUGUUGGUUGAACUUGAGUUUGUGUUGUGUUUGAACUUGAGUUUGUGAUGUUUUUGAAUUUGAGUUUGUGUGUUGGUUGAACUUGAGUUCGUGUCGUGUUUGAACUUGAGUUUGUGGUGUUUUUUGAACUUGAGGUGGUUUCAUGUUUGAACUUGAGUUUGUUGCGUUUUUUGAACUUGAGUUUGUGGUGUUUGUUGAACUUGAGUUUGUGUGGUGUUUGAACUUGAGUUUGUGUCGUGUUUGAACUUGAGUUUGUGUGUUUUUUGAACUUGAGUUUGUGUGUUUUUUUGAAUUUGAGUUUGUGUCGUGUUUGAACUUGAGUUUGUGGUGUUUUUGAACUUGAAUUUGCGUGUUUGGUUAACUUGAGUUUUUGUGUUUUUUGAACUUGAGUUUCUGUUGUUUUUGAACUUGAGGUUGUGGAAAUUGUUAAACUUGAGAAUCAGGUGUUGGUUGAACUUGAGAUUGUGUGUUUUUUGAACCUGAGUUUGUGGUGUUUUUGAACUUGAGGUUGUUGAAAUUGUUAAUCUUGAGAAUUGGGUAUUGGUUGAACUUGAGUUUGUGUCGUGUUUGAAUGUGAGUUUGGUUUGUGUUUUAACUUGAGUUUGUGAUGUUUUUGAAUUUGAGUUUGUGUGUUGGUUGAACUUGAGUUUGUGUUGUGUUUGAACUUGAGUUUGUGGUGUUUUUGAACUUGAGUUUGUGUGUUUGUUGAACUUGAGUCUGUGUUGUGUUUGAACUUUAGUUUGUGGCGUUUGUUGAGUUUGAUUUUGUGUCGUGUUUGAACUUGAGUUUGUGGUUUUUUUUAACUUGAGUUUGUGUCGUGUUUGAACUUGAGUUUGAGUGUUUUUUGAACUUGAGUUUGUGUGGUUUUUGAACUUGAGUUUGUGUCGUGUUUGAACUUGAGUUUGAGUGUUUUUUGAACUUGAGUUUGUGUGGUUUUUGAACUUGAGUUUGUUUCGUGUUUGAACUUGAGUUUGUGGCGUUUGUUGAAUUUGAGUUUGUGUCAUGUUUGAACUUGAGUUUGUGGUGUUUUUGAACUUGAAUUUGCAUGUUUGGUUAACUUGGGUUUUUGUGUUUUUUGAACUUAGGUUUCUGUUGUUUUUGAACUUGAGGUUGUGGAAAUUGUUAAACUUGAGACUCAGGUGUUGGUUGAACUUAGGUUUCUGUUGUUUUUGAACUUGAGGUUGUGGAAAUUGUUAAACUUAAGAAUUAGGUGUUGGUUGAACUUGAGUUUGUGUGUUUGUUGAACUUGAGUUUUGUGGUGUUUUUGAACUUGAGGUUGUUGAAAUUUUUAAACUUGAGAAUUGGGUAUUGGUUGAACUUGAGUUUGUGAUUUUAUUGAACUUGAGUUUGGUUCGUGUUUUAACUUGAGUUUGUGAUGUUUUUGAAUUUGAGUUUGUGUGUUGGUUGAACUUGAGUUUGUGUCGUGUUUGAACUUGAGUUUGUGUGUUUUUUGAACUUGAGUUUGUGUGUUGGUUGAACUUGAGUUC